CCUACGGGAGGCUGCAGUGGGGAAUAUUGCACAAUGGGGGAAACCCUGAUGCAGCGACGCCGCGUGAGUGAAGAAGUAAUUCGUUAUGUAAAGCUCUAUCAGCAGGGAAGAAAAUGACGGUACCUGAGUAAGACGCCCCGGCUAACUACGUGCCAGCAGCCGCGGUCAUACGUAGGGGGCAAGCGUUAUCCGGAUUUACUGGGUGUAAAGGGAGCGUAGACGGCAGUGCAAGUCUGGAGUGAAAGGCGGGGGCUCAACCCCCGGACUGCUCUGGAAACUGUACGGCUGGAGUGCAGGAGAGGUAAGUGGAAUUCCUAGUGUAGCGGUGAAAUGCGUAGAUAUUAGGAGGAACACCAGUGGCGAAGGCGGCUUACUGGACUGUAACUGACGUUGAGGCUCGAAAGCGUGGGGAGCAAACAGGAUUAGAUACCCUGGUAGUC
rnacentral:rRNA from 1 species